AUUGAACGCUGGCGGCAGGCCUAACACAUGCAAGUCGAGCGGAUGAAGGGAGCCUGCUCCUGGAUUCAGCGGCGGACGGGUGAGUAAUGCCUAGGAAUCUGCCUGGUAGUGGGGGAUAACGUCCGGAAACGGGCGCUAAUACCGCAUACGUCCUGAGGGAGAAAGUGGGGGAUCUUCGGACCUCACGCUAUCAGAUGAGCCUAGGUCGGAUUAGCUAGUUGGUGGGGUAAAGGCCUACCAAGGCGACGAUCCGUAACUGGUCUGAGAGGAUGAUCAGUCACCCUGGAACUGAGACACGGUCCAGACUCCUACGGGAGGCAGCAGUGGGGAAUAUUGGACAAUAGGCGAAAGCCUGAUCCAGCCAUGCCGCGUGUGUGAAGAAGGUCUUCGGAUUGUAAAGCACUUUAAGUUGGGAGGAAGGGCAGUAAGUUAAUACCUUGCUGUUUUGACGUUACCAACAGAAUAAGCACCGGCUAACUUCGUG
rnacentral:rRNA from 1 species